AUUGAACGCUGGCGGCAGGCCUAACACAUGCAAGUCGAGCGGAGCGGCGGACGGGUGAGUAAUGCCUAGGAAUCUGCCUGCUAGUGGGGGAUAACGUCCGGAAACGGGCGCUAAUACCGCAUACUAUCAGAUGAGUCUAGGUCGGAUUAGCUAGUUGGUGGGGUAAAGGCCUACCAAGGCGACGAUCCCUACCUGGUCUGAGAGGAUGAUCAGUCACACUGGAACUGAGACACGGUCCAGACUCCUACGGGAGGCAGCAGUGGGGAAUAUUGGACAAUGGGCGAAAGCCUGAUGCAGCCAUGCCGCGUGUGUGAAGAAGGUCUUCGGGUUGUAAAGCACUUUAAGUUGGGAGGCGUUACCAACAGAAUAAGCACCGGCUAACUUCGUGCCAGCAGCCGCGGUAAUUC
rnacentral:rRNA from 1 species